rnacentral:siRNA from 1 species
AGAUGAUGUGAGGAGUUUCGCUA